CUGCGCAGGUGAGGGGGAAGCUCUGCUGGAGGACCUGCCCAGUACCAGGCCAGCGGCCAGGAAAGGGCAAGUGUGGCCUCCAGCCCCAGAAGCACCCUGCUUGAUCCCAGUACCCCAUGUCUGCCCCGUCGCUCACCCCAUGCUCCCCUCAUUGCUUAGCGGGACCUGAGAACAGUAGCACAAAAACACAACCAAGCCCAGCUCCUGGGAUCCAAACUUGGUCAUCACAGUGACACAGCAGCCAGACAGCGCACACACUGCCAUUCACAGUCCAUGUCACCACGUUCCGGAUGAGCCGGAACCAGCAGCAGGCUUGGCAAGGGACCAGCUCAGCCUUAGCGAGUCAGAGAGCCCAGGCAUGGCAGGGUAGGCUGGAGAGGCUAGUCCCAGGGCCCUGCUGGUGAGCAGGCCAUCAGAGUGGGCCGGGAGGUCAGGGAGGAGCUCGGGCAUUUGGUUAGGCAGCUCGCCCUGCCGUUGGGUACGCAUCCUAUAUGUCAGUCAAUCGUUUCUCACAAG
rnacentral:lncRNA from 1 species